rnacentral:rRNA from 1 species
UACGUAGGUGGCAAGCGUUGUCCGGAUUUAUUGGGUUUAAAGGGUGCGUAGGUGGCCUGGUAAGUCAGGGGUGAAAGACGGUAGCUUAACUAUCGCAGUGCCUUUGAUACUGCCGGGCUUGAAUGAACUAGAGGUAGGCGGAAUGUGACAAGUAGCGGUGAAAUGCUUAGAUAUGACAUAGAACACCCAUUGCGAAGGCAGCUUACUACACAAAUAUUGACGCUGAGGCACGAAAGCGUGGGGAUCAAACAGG